rnacentral:tRNA from 1 species
CGCGGAGUAGAGAAGUUCGGUAUCUCGCCUGGCUCAUAACCAGGAGGCUUCAACGCGCACAAGUGGUUCAAAUCCCGCCUCCGCCACCA